rnacentral:rRNA from 1 species
GGUUAAGCGACUAAGCGUACACGGUGGAUGCCCUGGCAGUCAGAGGCGAUGAAGGACGUGCUAAUCUGCGAAAAGCGUCGGUAAGGUGAUAUGAACCGUUAUAGCCGGCGAUGUCCGAAUGGGGAAACCCAGUGCAAUUCGUUGCACUAUCGUUUGAUGAAUACAUAGUCAAACGAGGCGAACCGGGGGAACUGAAACAUCUAAGUACCCCGAGGAAAAGAAAUCAACCGAGAUUCCCCCAGUAGCGGCGAGCGAACGGGGAGCAGCCCGGAGUCUGAAUCAGCUUGUGUGUUAGUGGAAGCGUCUGGAAAGUCGCAGGGUACAGGGUGAUACUCCCGUACACUAAAACGCACAGGUUGUGAACUCGAAGAGUAGGGCGGGACACGUGGUAUCCUGUCUGAAUAUGGGGGGACCAUCCUCCAAGGCUAAAUACUCCUGACUGACCGAUAGUGAACCAGUACCGUGAGGGAAAGGCGAAAAGAACCCCGGCGAGGGGAGUGAAAAAGAACCUGAAACCGUGUACGUACAAGCAGUAGGAGCCCACUAGUUGGGUGACUGCGUACCUUUUGUAUAAUGGGUCAGCGACUUAUAUUCUGUAGCAAGGUUAACCGUAUAGGGGAGCCGCAGGGAAACCGAGUCUUAACUGGGCGUUAAGUUGCAGGGUAUAGACCCGAAACCCGGUGAUCUAGCCAUGGGCAGGUUGAAGGUUGGGUAACACUAACUGGAGGACCGAACCGACUAAUGUUGAAAAAUUAGCGGAUGACUUGUGGCUGGGGGUGAAAGGCCAAUCAAACCGGGAGAUAGCUGGUUCUCCCCGAAAGCUAUUUAGGUAGCGCCUCGUGAACUCAUCUUCGGGGGUAGAGCACUGUUUCGGCUAGGGGGUCAUCCCGACUUACCAACCCGAUGCAAACUACGAAUACCGAAGAAUGUUAUCACGGGAGACACACGGCGGGUGCUAACGUCCGUCGUGAAGAGGGAAACAACCCAGACCGCCAGCUAAGGUCCCAAAGUCAUGGUUAAGUGGGAAACGAUGUGGGAAGGCCCAGACAGCCAGGAUGUUGGCUUAGAAGCAGCCAUCAUUUAAAGAAAGCGUAAUAGCUCACUGGUCGAGUCGGCCUGCGCGGAAGAUGUAACGGGGCUAAACCAUGCACCGAAGCUGCGGCAGCGACACUAUGUGUUGUUGGGUAGGGGAGCGUUCUGUAAGCCGUUGAAGGUGGCCUGUGAGGGUUGCUGGAGGUAUCAGAAGUGCGAAUGCUGACAUAAGUAACGAUAAUGCGGGUGAAAAACCCGCACGCCGGAAGACCAAGGGUUCCUGUCCAACGUUAAUCGGGGCAGGGUGAGUCGACCCCUAAGGCGAGGCCGAAAGGCGUAGUCGAUGGGAAACAGGUUAAUAUUCCUGUACUCGGUGUUACUGCGAAGGGGGGACGGAGAAGGCUAUGUUGGCCGGGCGACGGUUGUCCCGGUUUAAGCAUGUAGGCGGAUGUUCCAGGUAAAUCCGGAACGUCACUAACGCUGAGGUGUGAUGACGAGGCACUACGGUGCUGAAGUGACAAAUGCCCUGCUUCCAGGAAAAGCCUCUAAGCAUCAGGUAACAUCAAAUCGUACCCCAAACCGACACAGGUGGUCAGGUAGAGAAUACCAAGGCGCUUGAGAGAACUCGGGUGAAGGAACUAGGCAAAAUGGUGCCGUAACUUCGGGAGAAGGCACGCUGAUGGUAAGUGAAGCGACUUGCUCGUGGAGCUGAAAUCAGUCGAAGAUACCAGCUGGCUGCAACUGUUUAUUAAAAACACAGCACUGUGCAAACACGAAAGUGGACGUAUACGGUGUGACGCCUGCCCGGUGCCGGAAGGUUAAUUGAUGGGGUUAUCCGUAAGGAGAAGCUCUUGAUCGAAGCCCCGGUAAACGGCGGCCGUAACUAUAACGGUCCUAAGGUAGCGAAAUUCCUUGUCGGGUAAGUUCCGACCUGCACGAAUGGCGUAAUGAUGGCCAGGCUGUCUCCACCCGAGACUCAGUGAAAUUGAACUCGCUGUGAAGAUGCAGUGUACCCGCGGCAAGACGGAAAGACCCCGUGAACCUUUACUAUAGCUUGACACUGAACACUGGUCCUUGAUGUGUAGGAUAGGUGGGAGGCUUUGAAGUGUGGACGCCAGUCUGCAUGGAGCCAUCCUUGAAAUACCACCCUUUAAUGGCUGGUGUUCUAACGUGGGCCCCUGAUCGGGGUUGCGGACAGUGUCUGGUGGGUAGUUUGACUGGGGCGGUCUCCUCCUAAAGAGUAACGGAGGAGCACGAAGGUCAGCUAAUCCUGGUCGGACAUCAGGAGGUUAGUGCAAUGGCAUAAGCUGGCUUGACUGCGAGCGUGACGGCGCGAGCAGGUGCGAAAGCAGGUCAUAGUGAUCCGGUGGUUCUGAAUGGAAGGGCCAUCGCUCAACGGAUAAAAGGUACUCCGGGGAUAACAGGCUGAUACCGCCCAAGAGUUCAUAUCGACGGCGGUGUUUGGCACCUCGAUGUCGGCUCAUCACAUCCUGGGGCUGAAGUAGGUCCCAAGGGUAUGGCUGUUCGCCAUUUAAAGUGGUACGCGAGCUGGGUUUAGAACGUCGUGAGACAGUUCGGUCCCUAUCUGCCGUGGGCGCUGGAGAAUUGAGGGGGGCUGCUCCUAGUACGAGAGGACCGGAGUGGACGCAUCACUGGUGUUCGGGUUGUCAUGCCAAUGGCAUUGCCCGGUAGCUAAAUGCGGAAGAGAUAAGUGCUGAAAGCAUCUAAGCACGAAACUUGCCCCGAGAUGAGUUCUCCCUGACCCUUUAAGGGUCCUGAAGGAACGUUGAAGACGACGACGUUGAUAGGCCGGGUGUGUAAGCGCAGCGAUGCGUUGAGCUAACCGGUACUAAUGAACCGUGAGGCUUAACCUU